UACGAAGGGUGCAAACGUUGCUCGGAAUUAUUGGGCGUAAAGCGCACGUAGGCGGCUUUGUAAGUCGGAUGUGAAAUCCCUCGGCUUAACCAAGGAAGUGCAUCCGAAACUACAGAGCUUGAGUACUUAAGAGGAUCGCGGAAUUCCCGGUGUAGAGGUGAAAUUCGUAGAUAUCGGGAGGAACACCAGUGGCGAAGGCGGCGAUCUAGGAAGAUACUGACGCUGAGGUGCGAAAGCGUGGGGAGCAAACAGG
rnacentral:rRNA from 1 species